rnacentral:rRNA from 1 species
UACAGAGGCCCCAAGCAUUAUCCGGAAUCACUGGGCGUAAAGGGUGUCCAGGCGGCCCUGUUAGUCUCUUGUAAAAUCCGUGGGCUUAACCUACGGUCCGCAAGGGAAACGGCAGGGCUCGAGGGCGCGAGAGGUAAAGGGAACUCAUGGUGGAGGGGUGAAAUCCGUUGAUAUCAUGGGGAACACCAAAGGCGAAGGCACUUUACUGGCGCGUUCCUGACGCUCACACACGAAAGCCAGGGUAGCGAACGGG